rnacentral:sRNA from 1 species
CUUUCUGCAAUCAUACUAGUCCUGUGUGACCUGGAAGCGAAAGGAUCUGACCUAAGCUCUUCCUUUGUCUAUUUCUGUACUCUACCCAUCGGUCAUUUGCAAUUGAGCCAAAGAAAACCCAGUAGAAAUAAGAUAACCAGUCUGAACCUGGUUUGCCUUGAAUGUGUGUGGGACAGAACGGACAGUCUCCUGUCAGUGAUGAAGUUAGUGGAUGUCUUUGCUUCCUUAGGAGACACCCAGGGCCCUGGUGCCGGUUGUGGAGGUGUUUUGCCCAAUGCAUUGUUUGAAGAGUUGUUGCUCAAGAAGUCAGGGCCUUUGAGGUGCACAGAGUCCAGAGAGCUUUCGGAGUCUUGCUUCUGCUUAGGCAGCUGUGGAGGGAAACAUUUCCAGUCAGGGUUCUGGCUUCUUGUCAUAGAACACACUGCAAAAAGAUGUCAAAGAGCGGACUCUCCAAAGGCCUAUGGUUCUCACUGCUGCUACUGUCUGCAGCUAGCAAGUCCCCCUGGAGGGCCGGAACAGGACAUCCGGAGGAAGAUCAUGUGCAGCCAGAGAUGCCAGGAGGCAGUGGAGGAGGAAGCUGCUGGGUCCUCCACCCUCGCAGGGUAGUCUAUGAUGAUGGGCGGCUGAUUUAAUUGGACCUCACAAAAUGUCCUACUUCUCCCUCAGCCCGUAGAGACUGGCCCUUCCGAGGUUCACCCUCCAGCAGGUGUGAACACAGCGGCCUGAAAGGACAAGGGAAGAGGACUGGUGUUAGGACCCAAAGAGAAGAUCUGCAUGUAAGGAACGUGGUACCAGGAGCUAAGGCUGGACUUCGUUUUAUGAUUAACUUGCCCUCUGAAUGAAAUCAGCAACUGGAAAAAUGCCAACUUGUUCAGAAGCCAUGUCACCCUGGCGACAUUCACAAUUCUCCUGGGCAAAUAGCCACUCCUCUUGUAGCAAUAACCAAUCCGGUCUUAAGGGUAAAGUACCUAAUGUCUAAAGUAGAUUGAUUAAGCUAGCAACCAUUGUUCAUACCAAGCUGAAAUCAUUACUAUCCAAUAGAAAUGUGCCAAUUAAAUAUCAACCAAUCAUGUAACUGCCAAGUUGGAAAGUCUCUCAUCCUGUUACCAUGAUAAUUAAGCAAAGCUUGUACCAACUCCUUGCACCUUUCAUACCUUCUGUUCUGGAGAAGUUGGAGGGUCUGAGCUGGAGCUUAAAUAAAGACUCUUUGAUUUUGCAUAUGAGUUGGACUCCUGGUGGUCUCUGGUAGUCUGUGGGGGACCUCGUCUGGUCAUAACACUGUGACCCUUUAACACAA